UAUAAUUGAUUUACAUAUACAAAAUGAAGCCUUAUAUAUUACACUCGAAAACAGAGUAGGACUCAUUCACUAAUUAGCACCAAAAAAAGUAUGUGAUAGAUCAACUUGUACAUAAAACAUUGCAUGUAGUUUAUCAUAGCUUGGAUGUAUCGGGAGCAUUCAAUGCGUAUACGUCAAAUCCGAUGAUCAAAGGCCAAAUAUCAAUCCAUCGUUCCAGAUCACCUCGCAUGGCUGAGCUUCUUGCGUCCCAAAGACAAUGUACUCCCGAGCUUGCAGCGUUGGAGAGAUCUAAGUCAGUGCACAAGGAACAGGGAAGAAGCGCCAGCUUCACGCAGUUGCCGGAGCCUCACACAUUAACUGGACAUUGGUCAAGAACCACGGCUAGCUCGCCUGGCACUGAUGUGUGUGGACGAUGGGGAAGCUAGCAACUCGGAUGCAUCCAUCUGUGGUCACCAGGGCAUGCAUAUAUACUGUUUCAUGUGAUUAGUCGGUGAGAUUCAAUUACAACCAACGAGUAGAGAUUAAUACGUAGAAGUGUAGGCAUAAAAAGUGGCGCCUAUGAUGAGUUAGAAACCUCAACGAUCACUCGAUCAGAGUGAUCGUUCUUGUUGCCGCCGCCCGCCGGUCAGCGAAUGGAAGGCGGAAGCAUCACAUAUAUUGCUGUCGUGGCAUUGCCAUUGACAUCACCGUCUGUGUUCAUGUCGUCGGCGCCGACAAUCGCCAUCGCCCGUGCCAUCACCGUCGUCGUGGCCGGCGCCGUCGAUGGUCUAUUUUAAGCGAGGGCGAUGAUUUCCGUCGGAGCCAUCGCCCCUCGAGAACUUGUACACGUAUGCUAGAUAAAUAAAGUGAGUUGCCAGAAUCUCUAUUAAUGUGGACGAUCUAACAAAU
rnacentral:lncRNA from 1 species